UGAAAAAAAAUAUGAAGAAAGUGGUGUGUGAACACAUAGACUAUAUGUAUUGCAUAUUUGUCUCCUCUUUUGUUUGUUUUUGUUAUUUUCUUUUGCCAUGUCCAUGCUGUGCCAAUGACUAUUGCAGAAAGCUACAUAUUUGGUAUUCAAUUUUCAAACUUUAGGACAUAAUAUUCUCAAAUCUUCAGCUUUUGAAAUGAAGAAUCAUAACCAAGAAAAAGUAACUGCCCAGCUCUAGGAAACUUAACAAUUGUUUUGAAAGACCACCUAUAUUGGCUACAAUGUAAUUAGUAGUACUGGUCUCCUACUAUUUAUCAUACUUUAUUAUUUCCCAGUGCUUAAAUUGCUUCCGUAUAGAAAACUAGAGUAAAGUUAUCCAAGAAGUGUUUAACAAAUUACUGACCACAUCUUGAUAUCUUAGCAGUAGUCAAACUUAUCAUUUUUGAGAGCCAAUUUUCUGCAAAUUUCUUCGUUUAAAAUUCUUGUGAAGAUCUCUGAAGGUACGUCCUAUGUAGCAAGAGAGAUAGCUGGUUAUGCUGCUGUAACUUCUCUGUUGGAACAAUACACCUGAUUUCACAAUCCAGCUUAAAGCUUCAAGAGGGUCACAACACAAUCGAUUUUCUAUGGUGAUAGCUGGUUAGCAAUCAUGUAUGUUGUUUGGAACGAGAGAAAUAGAAGGCAUUCAAUGAGAUAGAGCUAGAUUUCUUAGAAUUGCAUGGUAAUCUUUUAUUUCUAGUUUUUUUUUUUGGUUUAUGACUUGUAUACGAGAUUUUCCCAUAAUUGUUAAUAAAUUUUUUUUACCUUAUUAAGUAGUUUCACUUUUUGAAAUAAUGUCUCUCAUAUGAAAUAAAAAAAUCAGAACCGCCAGAAAAUUCUAUCAAAUCCAAAAAAAUUAUAACAGAUAUCAUAAAA
rnacentral:lncRNA from 1 species